rnacentral:rRNA from 1 species
GUUGAACGCUGGCGGCGUGCCUAAUACAUGCAAGUCGAGCGAUCGGACGAGAAGCUUGCUUCUCUGAUGUUAGCGGCGGACGGGUGAGUAACACGUGGAUAACCUACCUUUAAGACUGGGAUAACUUCGGGAAACCGGAGCUAAUACCGGAUAAUAUUUUGAACCGCAUGGUUCAAAAGUGAAAGACGGUCUUGCUGUCACUUAUAGAUGUAUCCCCGUUGCAUUAGCUAGUUGGUAAGGUAACGGCUUACCAAGGCAACGAUGCAUAGCCGACCUGAGAGGGUGAUCGGCCACACUGGAACUGAGACACGGUCCAGACUCCUACGGGAGGCAGCAGUGGGGAAUCUUCCGCAAUGGGCGAAAGCCUGACGGAGCAACGCCGCGUGGGUGAUGAAGGUCUUCGGAUCGUAAAACACUGUUAUUGGGGAAGAAGAUAUGUAUAAGUAACUGUGCACAUCUUGACGGUACCUACACAGAAAGCCACGGCUAACUACGUG